GAUAAACUAAUUUUUUAAUAAUUAAAACUAUAACUAUAACUAAACUUUGAAUGAUUAAAAUAAUUAAAACUAAAGCUAUCCAGCAUAAAGUAAAUAAACUAAGCUGAAGGCUAUGAAGGAUUAAGACUAUAAAUAAACUAACAAAGUAAAUAAACAUAAAUAUAAUAAAUAAACUAUAAAAUCACUGAAUAAACUACUGAGUAGAUUGCUAAGCUAUGACUAUGGC
rnacentral:lncRNA from 1 species